rnacentral:tRNA from 1 species
GCCCCCAUCGUCUAGAGGCCGAGGACACCGCCCUUUCAAGGCGGCGGCACGGGUUCGAAUCCCGUUGGGGGCA